rnacentral:rRNA from 1 species
UACGUAGGCGGGAAAUUAAGUCAGUAGUGAAAUCCCACAGCUUAACUGUGGAACUGUUAUUGAUACUGGUUUUCUUGAAUAUAGUUGAGGUAGGCGGAAUGUGUAAUGUAGCGGUGAAAUGCUUAGAUAUUACACAGAACACCGAUUGCGAAGGCAGCUUACUAAACUAUGAUUGACGCUGAGGUACGAAAGCGUGGGGAGCGAACAGGAUUAGAUACCUGGUAGUCC